UCAGGGAUGAGGUUUUGGGAAGAGGGACUGUCCCUGAGGCUGCUGCUGCUGCUGGUUACCCUUAUGGAUACUUGCCUCCGGGGACUGGGCCAAUAGGGAACCCGGGAAUGGUUAUGGGUAACCCUGGUGGUGCAUACCCACCUAACCCGUAUAUGGGUCAGCCCAUGUGGCCGCAGCAACAGGGACCUGACCAACCUGACCCGGAAAAUUAGCUUUGGCAUAGAAACUGUGAGUUUUUCCCUAGCUUCUUUUACGCAUAAUCAAUAUCUAGUGUGUGGGUGUUUGUGUUGGUGGUAUAGAUGAGGACUUGUUUUGACUUCCAUGCUUUCAAAGACAAAGCUAUACAGUCUGAUAGUUAUAUAUUAUUAUGUUUGUUGUUUCUUUGUUGCAGAGUUCAUGUCAAGCCAAGUUGAAUGAAGAAAGGAGUUUAGAGAAGAACAUAUCAUAAUUUCAAAUUGUAGAAGAAACUCUAAGUGUUUGUUUAUUAUGUUCAUUCCAUCCUUUCUUGUAAGGAGACAUUUAGGGAUGAAUUACCUGAAGAAUGUAUAAACUGUAACUUUGUAAGGAUGAAAGAAGUGUGGGUUGACAAGUUCUUUUUUAUUUAUUUGAAUGUUAUCUUAUCAUUCUCAAGAAAAAGAAAAAUUCUCAAAAAAUGUUAUUCUCUUCAUUUUUAAAUAAGUGUCACUUUUACACUUUUCACAAAGACUAAAAAAGGACGAAAAUAUAUGUAGAUUGUUAUUAAUUACAUUUUUCUGACCAAUAGUAUUUGAGAUAAAUAAAAUUAUUUAUAAAACCAAUGCAGUUUGCAAAUAAUUUUCAGCUGAAAUUUUUGUUUUGAAAUUGUAAAGUGAUACUUUUUGUGUAACAAUAAAAAAAAACUAAAAUAACACUUAUUAUGAAACAGAGAGAAUAUUAUCUUAUUUUUUUAGUGUUUUUUCUCUUCACAUAUGACAUUCAAAUAAAUAUAAGAUUUCAUCCGAAAUUGAAUAUUAAAAAAAUUGAAAAAGAAAUAUAAAUGUUUUUUUUUUCUUGAUGUGUUUUAAAAAAUUUAAAAUAAAAAAUUGUUUUUUUCUUUCUUAUUUUAAAAUCAAUUUGUUUUUUUUUUUUUAAUUUCAAAAAGUAUGAUACCGAAGCCCUUUUCCCUCUCACUCGUUAAUACUUUUAGCCGAACGAAGAAACAUUAGUCACAGUGUGAAAACCCCCAAAAUCGAUCAGAUGCAAGAUUUCUUCGGCUCCGUUCGCCGAUCUCUCGUCUUCCGUCCUCCCGGCGAUGAAGACAACCAGGAGAAUCAGCCUCCGUUCCCCGGCGCUCUCGCCGAUAAGAUCACCUCCUGCAUCCGCAAAUCCAGGGCUCUCAUCAAACCCUCCUCUUCCCCGCCGCCUCACCCUCCUUCCGCCGCAGAUACGCCGCCUCCGAUUUCGUGGAGGAAAGGUCAGUUAAUCGGCCGCGGCGCGUUCGGUACGGUGUACAUGGGGAUGAAUCUCGAUUCCGGGGAGCUUCUCGCCGUCAAACAGGUACUCCCACCUAGGGUUUCGAAGCUAAUUGGAUCUUAAUUAAAUAAAGGAAGUUCCUUUUGCUGCUAAUUUUAGUUGUUUGUUGUUACUUACCAAUCUCGGAUCUGUUACUAAACGAUUCUGAAAGUCGAAAGCUUUGAUUUUUACCUUUGUUCAUGGAUGUGAUCUGAUUGUUUGUUACGCAGGUUCUGAUUGCUUCCAAUUAUGCUUCCAAGGAAAAAACUCAGGUUCUUAAACAACCCUAAACCCCCUUUUUAUGUUCUCCUUUCCAAUCGAGUUUAUACUUGACUUUGGUUUUUUCUAUCUUGAAGGCUCAUAUUCAGGAGCUUGAAGAAGAAGUUAAGCUUCUCAAAAAUCUCUCCCAUCCAAAUAUAGUUGUUAGUAACUAUAUAUCCUCUUUCCUCUCAGUGCAGAUGGAUUCAAUACUUCUUUUUGUGUUAUCUAAAUCAGUUAUUUGUUCUUGGCCUUUAGAGAUAUUUGGGCACUGUGAGAGAAGAUGACACUCUGAAUAUUCUUCUCGAGUUUGUUUCCGGUGGAUCUAUAUCUUCGCUCUUGGAGAAAUUCGGACCUUUUCCUGAAUCAGUGAGUCAUACUUGAAUUUUUUUUUUUUUUUUUUGUUUUCCCAUGUAUUACUAGACUGUUCGGCCUACUUGAGUGUUUAGAGUGGUUUAAUCAGGUUGUACGGACAUACACAAAACAGCUGCUUGUUGGGUUGGAGUACCUUCACAAUCAUGCAAUUAUGCACAGAGACAUUAAGGUAACAGUUCUCCUCAUACUUUGAAAGUUCUUGAAUACUUGAGUUAUUGUCCAUUAUAUUCUCUGUUCCUCUGUUCUCAGGGCGCUAAUAUCCUUGUGGAUAACAAAGGAGGCAUUAAACUUGCUGAUUUUGGUGCAUCCAAACAAGUAGCUGAGUUGGUAUGUCAAAUCAUUUUUUUUCUUCUUCACCUUAUAUUUCUUAGUUGGCCUUGUAUAAAAUAUUCUUUAUAGUGACAUGUUUUCAUCUGUAGGCUACAAUCUCUGGUGCAAAAUCUAUGAAAGGGACACCCUAUUGGAUGGCUCCGGAAGUUAUUCUUCAAACUGGACAUAGCUUGUAAGUUCUUAAGCGUGCUCGUACGAAAUAAAAUGCUUUUUACCUGAUAUCACAUACGCCUGUGGCUAUUAUUUAAGUACUGGUGACAUAAUUUUGAUUUCUCACAAUACUUUGGAUAUUGUUUUCAGCUCUGCUGAUAUAUGGAGCGUGGGCUGUACAGUUAUUGAAAUGGUUACUGGAAAGGCUCCUUGGAGUCAACAGUACAAAGAGGUAAUCUAUUUCCUUUCACUGGUUGUAAAGAUUUUUGCUUCUUUGAUUACAUGUGAACAUACCUUGGUUUCAGGUUGCUGCUAUCUUCUUCAUCGGAACAACAAAAUCACAUCCUCCAAUACCUGAUACUCUCUCCUCUGAUGCAAAAGACUUUCUGCUUAAGUGUCUACAGGAGUAAGCUACUUUGCUUCGGAAUCAAUAAAUUAGGAUUGUAAAGUAGAUCUCGUCACUAUUAAUGCGUCUUGUCUUUGGGAUUGCUGAACCAUUGAUUUGUCUGGGCAGGGAGCCAAAAAUGCGGCCAACGGCAUCUGAGCUACUAAAGGUGAAUUAUAAACAGUUUAAUUAUGCACCACCGAAAUGAAUUUUGUUUUUUGUUUUAGUAGACGUGUUCUUGAUUUUGUUCUGUUUGCAGCAUCCCUUUGUUACGGGAAAACACAAGCAAUCUGCUUCAACUGAUCUUGAUUCUGUCAUGGUGGGUGCAUGUCGACCAUCUUAUGAAUAUCAUAUAAGUUGUUCUUGAAGCCAUCUUUAUAUGACCAUUUUUGUUAUUUUCCAGAACAAUGGUAGUACUCCUACACUAUCACAGUUAACUAACACUAAGUGCUCGUAAGUUCUGGAAACCUGGCUGAAACCAAAAGUAUUAAAACGAAUGUUUUGGGUGUUACGAAAGAUUCUGACUAUUUAUUGUCUUCUUCCUUUGUUUCAGUCCCAAUUCUACAUGCAACGAUGUAGGAGACAUGUGUAACUUGGGCAGUCUGAACUAUUCACUUGCAUCUCCUUUGAAAUCAAUCCAAAACAACAAUUUCUGGCAACAAAAUGAUAAUGGAGGCGAAGAAGACGAUAUGUGUUUGAUUGAUGAUGACAAUUUUUUGACAUUUAAUGGAGAGACAGGACCUAUCCUUGAAAAUAAUAGUGAUCUGAAGAAGGUAACCAUUUCAUAUUUCCAUCUAGAGUUCCAAUGACCGGUUCAAGUCUCAACUAUUGUUUGAAUUGAGUUUCAUUUUGUUCUGUAAGCAUCAUUUAUUAUUAAAUCUUACUUCGACAGAGCUGUGAUGCCACAAGUGAUAUGUCCAAUGCUUUGAACCCCAAUUUUGACGAAAGUCCACGUAAUGGAGAGAAAGAGACGAAAAUGAGCAUGGAAGUUGACCAACCUUCAUACUCAGAAGAUGACGAGGAGCUGACGGAAUCAAGAAUUAAAGCUUUCUUAGAUGAAAAGGUGCAUCACGCUCGUAUUCUUUACUUUUAUAGGCAUCAAUACGUAAAUCACAUUCUGUUAGUCACUAACGUGGGAGUGAAUCUAAUAAUUUCAGGCUGCAGACCUAAAGAAGUUACAGACGCCUCUAUAUGAAGAAUACUACAACAAUUUGAUCACAUGCUCUCCCAAUGGCAUGGAGAGUAACGUAAGUAGCAGUAAAAGAGAGGACACUGCUCGUGGUUUCCUGAAACUGCCUCCAAAAAGCAGGUCACCGAGUCGGGGUCCUCUUGGUGGUUCACCCUCGAGAGCAACAGACACAGUUACUUGUACUAAGAGCCCAGGAAGUGGAAGUAGUCGUGAAGUGAAUAUGAACGAUGGAGGUGAUGAAGCUUCGCAGGAUGGUGUACCAGCCCGAGUCAGUGACUGGAGGGGUCUUAUUGUUGACACUGAACAGGAAUCAAAGAGCCAGAGGUUAGUUUCCUUUGAUCCUCUUAGGCACUCAGUAGGAACAAUGAAGCGAGAACUAUGUCCCAUUCAUGCAUGUCAUAAACUAUAACUGCCCUCUAUGUCGCAGAAUUGUUGCAUUUUGGGUUUUUUUCAAAGUGCUGACUUAACAACCAUAGAUGAGAAUAGUAAUCACGAAUGCGUCCAAACAUUUGAAGUUUAAGAAUUCUAAAACAUCUGCCGCGCUUUCUUCAACUUGUCUAGCAAUUUUUACCUUAACCUAGGGUAGGCGAGUCAGCCGGCAACAUCGACCAAGGGGCUUACGCAACCACACCCGACCACAAGAUCCCUCUGACGGAAGAAGGACGAGCGCAGGCACGUGAGGCCGGUAGGAAGAUGAGAGCCCUGAUCUCAGCUCAAAGCGGCGGCACGUGCGGAGAGAAUUGGCGCGUAUACUUUUACGUGUCCCCGUACGAGAGGACGAGGACAACACUGAGGGAAGUAGGGAAAGCGUUCUCGAGGCGGCGCGUGAUAGGAGUGAGGGAAGAGUGUAGGAUCAGAGAACAAGAUUUUGGAAAUUUUCAAGUGGAAGAUAGGAUGAGAGUUGUGAAGGAGACGAGGGAACGUUUUGGAAGAUUCUUUUACCGUUUCCCGGAGGGUGAAUCUGCUUCCGACGUCUAUGAUCGUGUUUCAAGUAAGUUCUGCCUCUCUAGAGGAUGAUAAUUCAGAUAGCUAAUAUUAAUAUCUCCACAUAAUUGUUUUUCAUUCUAAAACUAUACUAAUAUUAAUAUUUAGUUUCAAAAAAAAAAAAACUAUAUUAAUAUUUGAAAUAUCUUUUUUUAGAAAAGUCGUGUUGGAUAUUUCUGGUAUGAAAUAAGAUCAGGAUAAUUCAAAUAAUAAAAUCACUACAGUAAUUGUCAUUUCCAGAUGGUUUAAGUAAUUUAAAAUCUUUUUAUAAAGUUUGCAUUAGUUGAUAUAAUUUGGUCGGCUCUACUUUCAAGACUUUUGACGUUGACUCUUGAGACAGAGAAGACGUACUUUGAUUGGUCUUCGAGUUUGUUGAUUAUGCUAAGUUUAUUUUUCUGGAACGCCUUAGCGUAUCUUGAUUCUUGAUAAUUACUUUUACAGUUGACGGAAAACGUGUUGCGCUCCUAGUUACUGCUAGUUACUGGUUUUCCAUAUUGAAAAUGAUAUUAAAAUGUUACGUUACAUAACGUCAAGUAUCUCUAUGUUUGAACUCAUUGGAAAGGUUUCUUGGAGUCUCUAUGGAGAGACGUGGACAUGAACAGGCAUCAAGUGGAUCCAUUGAGUGAGCUAAACCUAGUGAUUGUGUCCCAUGGGCUGACCUCUCGUGUGUUUCUAAUGAAAUGGUUCAAGUGGACGGUGGAAGAGUUCGAGCGGCUGAACAAUUUAGGGAACUGCGAGUUCAGAGUGAUGGAGUUAGGUGCAGGAGGAGAGUACACCUUUGGGAUACACCACACUGAAGAAGAGAUGUUGGCUUGGGGCAUGUCUAAAGAUAUGAUUGAUGAUCAAAUGGUUCGUGUUAAUGGUUCCCGUGAAACAUUGAACGAUUGUUGUACAUUGCAACUCGAUGAGUAUUUCGAUUUGUUAGAUGUCACUGACGACGAAGAAUGAUGCUGAUUAUUUGUAUGUACAUUGCUAUUGUACGUGUUUGCUUUUGGAAAAAGAAACUAGUAAUUAUCUCAUUUGUUGUUUGGUUUCAUCACUUGUAAAUCAAGUUUAGUAGUAUUGAAAUUACAUUUUCGUAUAAUAAAAAAAUGAAGUGAUAUUUUCUAAAGAAAACACAUGUAAUAGUUCCUCAAAACCAAUUGGUGAACCGAUUAUAGUUACUGCAAAGUAAACAAGAUAUGUUUUAUGUAGGUUGAUUAUUGUCAAAGCCAUAUUUUAAGGAAAUACGCAAAAGGGCAUUUGGUCUAGUGGUAUGAUUCUCGCUUAGGGUGCGAGAGGUCCCGAGUUCAGUUCUCGGAAUGCCCCAGUUUAAAAAUAUUUUAGUUCAAUUUUAGAUUCCAACUUGCAGAAGUAUUUGGACCACUGCUGAGUUUUUUUGAACUUUUUGAAUUUCUUUAUCACAAAGAAGUAACUACUAAUUUUGAGUGGAAGAAAUAAUAGUUAAUUUAUAAUUUUAUAUCCGUAAAAGAAAAUAAAAACGAAACAUCAUCUGACAGGAGCACAAGAAUCUUGACAAAAGCCCAGCGCUUGACACGACACCCACCUUUUAAUGCUUUCCACACUUAUUACACCCGUUUCUGUUGUUGUUGUCUUCUAUUUCCUUCAUUGUUAAAGUCGAAAAAGGAGUACCAGAUCUUAAAACUCAAAGAGUAUCCAACUAGUGUCUUCCCCACAGUCCAACUCUUCCUCUUCCUCAGAUUCUCCUUGCAAAUCCAACUCAUACAUAGGUCACUCUCCUUUCCAGAUAUUUUCUGUUUACUUUGCCUUUGUUAGUUUUUUUUUCUUUUGUUCUGACCUGUUCUUGCAUAUGUUUUCUGAAAUUCAUGCACUUGAUAAAAAUAAUAGACAUGGUGUGUUGUUUGAAACGCUUCUACUUGGUUAAUAUCUUUUGCUCUGUUUUGACUAUUUUGAAGGAACUAAAUUUAUGGGUUCUUUUUUUCUAAUAAUUAGAUUUAUGCACUUUCUUUUUUAACUAUAUAAAUCUCACUGCUUAUACUUAUUGCUUUAGUUGAUCUUCUAAGUAAAUUUAGAAAUAUUGAUUAAACCAUAUAUAUAAUCCAAAUUUGUUCCAGCUAUUCUUGUUAAUUGUUUGCAACCUUAUCUCUUUAGAUGUUUGAUGAAAAGCUUUUCUAUUUCUAGUAGAGAAUGGAUCAACAAGAGCAUGGACAGUCGGGAGCCAUGAACUACGCCACAAACCCAUACCAAACCAAUCCCAUGACCACCACCGUAGCCGGAAACGCGGGGCCAGCAGCACCACAAGGCCAGCUGGCGUUCCACCAGAUCCACCAACAGCAGCAGCAGCAACAGCUGACUCAGCAGCUUCAAGUCUUUUGGGAGAACCAAUUCAAAGAGAUUGAGAAAACAACCGAUUUCAAGAACCACAGCCUUCCCCUAGCGAGGAUCAAGAAGAUCAUGAAAGCCGACGAGGACGUCCGCAUGAUCUCCGCCGAGGCUCCCGUUGUGUUUGCAAGGGCCUGCGAGAUGUUCAUCUUGGAGCUGACGCUAAGGUCGUGGAACCACACGGAGGAGAACAAGAGGAGGACGCUUCAGAAGAAUGAUAUAGCAGCUGCUGUGACUAGAACCGAUAUUUUUGAUUUUCUUGUGGAUAUUGUUCCUAGGGAGGAUCUCAGGGAUGAGGUUUUGGGAAGAGGGACUGUCCCUGAGGCUGCUGCUGCUGCUGGUUACCCUUAUGGAUACUUGCCUCCGGGGACUGGGCCAAUAGGGAACCCGGGAAUGGUUAUGGGUAACCCUGGUGGUGCAUACCCACCUAACCCGUAUAUGGGUCAGCCCAUGUGGCCGCAGCAACAGGGACCUGACCAACCUGACCCGGAAAAUUAGCUUUGGCAUAGAAACUGUGAGUUUUUCCCUAGCUUCUUUUACGCAUAAUCAAUAUCUAGUGUGUGGGUGUUUGUGUUGGUGGUAUAGAUGAGGACUUGUUUUGACUUCCAUGCUUUCAAAGACAAAGCUAUACAGUCUGAUAGUUAUAUAUUAUUAUGUUUGUUGUUUCUUUGUUGCAGAGU
rnacentral:lncRNA from 1 species